ACAAUUCAAGAGAAAGCGUUUUUCGUCUUCGACACACAUUAUUGCACAGAAAACACAAAUUCGGGCAUGUAUUGGCUCAUUUCGGAAGCGACCAGUUUCAACGCGAAUAGGGAGUGCUCUGCAUCUGAAAUGAGCGAAGUAUCAAUCGGUUCCACGUCCUGAAGAUGUUUACCUGACGCCAUUGAGUGGAUGGGGACCAUCCAAUUUCUCCAGAACAGGGCUAAAUCUGUGCUGUCCUACAUGUAAGAAAUAACGUAAUGAACGAUUUUGGACGUUGUCGAUACAUGGGAAUUUUCACAACCCCAUACUCCAGAACUAUAGCCCAGCACAGAAACUAAUUGCAUCCGAACAUUUAGGGUUUGAUUCCUGCAUGCAUGGAUCUGUCACCUGGAUACACAGGAACACUUUUUUUUUUCUUAACAAAAUAUGAGAACACCAAAAUGGUGUUGGUGCCCAACGACUGAGGCCAAGAAAACACUGACCCAGAUAGGCAAUGUACCCAGCGACUACAGUCUAAGGUGUCCCCAAUGCUGAGGGGCUGAGAGCGAUAUAGAACCCUGGGCUGUUCCCCGUGCCCAGCGACUACAGUCUAAGGUGUCCCCAAUGCUGAGGGACUGAGAGCGAUAUAGAACUCUGAGCUGUGGUCAAUAUCCAACGACCGGGACAGCAUAACACAGAGGCAUUGUAUUCUCAAUGCACAGUAUAUAAUUCAAUAAUAUUCAUUUUCAUUUAGAAGUUGCAAUUUUGUACAAAUUGUUUAGGUAAAUAUAACCUGCAGGCGCGUAGCCAGAAAGAAAAUGAAGUGUACAUAUACGCAAAGUACAGCAAGGGGACUGGGGGCCGCCUUGAGGCCCCAGUGAGUAAUGAGUGCAAAGCAAAGGGCGAAGUCGCUGUGUAAUAGAUCAACAUCUGCCGACAUCAAUUUCACCCGACAAGUCACCUUUUCAAAAUAUCUGUAAGAAACUUAAUUUUUCCGAGGAGUUUUGAAAAAAAAACUUUUCCUGCAUAAUUUUCGGAGGGGGUUAUUUUUCGUGUAGGAAUGUAAAAUUACCUGUAGGAAAUUUUAAAAUCCUGCGUGAAAUUUUUUUUUUUUUAGGAAUUUGUAAUGUCCAGCAAUAGAAAAAAAAUCCAUUUGAAAUUGAAACAUUUUAAAGAAAAAUUUAUUUUUAAAAGAAAUUUUCUUGCACAGAUGAUAGAUAUAGACGACACAUUUGGUUUUCUGAAAUAGCCAAUUUGGUUUUGCAAAACUAUUUGAGAACAAAAUGGUCAGAAAAUUUCAUCGUUGAUAGUGUUAAGAACCUUGCAAUGAUGAUGAUGUGCUAACUUAGCCAUGAGGUCAGCGUCUUAUUUGUGUUUAACUCAAUGCAAGUUCUGUUUGUAUAAAGUAUGUUUUCUUGUAUGCAUUUGUGUGCUAUUCUUUUUAACAUUCAUGGGGAUUUUUGUGGUUAGUUGCCUACAAUUCCCACAUUCUACUUUACAACAAAUUGCCAAUGAUU